CGAGUUCCCGUUGAUUGACGUGCUUGCACUGAUUUCAACAUUGGAACGAGUGGCGAACUGGUGAGUAACACGUGGAAAACCUGCCCAGAAGCAGGGGAUAACACUUGGAAACAGGUGCUAAUACCGUAUAACAACAAAAACCGCAUGGUUUUUGUUUGAAAGGUGGCUUCGGCUAUCACUUCUGGAUGGUUCCGCGGCGCAUUAGCUUGUUGGUGGGGUAACGGCUCACCAAGGCGAUGAUGCGUAGCCGACCUGAGAGGGUAAUCGGCCACAUUGGGACUGAGACACGGCCCAGACUCCUACGGGAGGCAGCAGUAGGGAAUCUUCCACAAUGGACGCAAGUCUGAUGGAGCAAUGCCGCGUGAGUGAAGAAGGGUUUCGGCUCGUAAAACUCUGUUGUUGAAGAAGAACGGGUGUCAGAGUAACUGUUGACAUCGUGACGGUAUUCAACCAGAAAGCCACGGCUAACUACGUGCCAGCAGCCGCGGUAAUACGUAGGUGGCAAGCGUUGUCCGGAUUUAUUGGGCGUAAAGCGAGCGCAGGCGGUUUCUUAAGUCUGAUGUGAAAGCCUUCGGCUUAACCGAAGAAGUGCAUCGGAAACUGGGGAACUUGAGUGCAGAAGAGGACAGUGGAACUCCAUGUGUAGCGGUGGAAUGCGUAGAUAUAUGGAAGAACACCAGUGGCGAAAGGCGGCUGUCUAGUCUGCAACUGACGCUGAGGCUCGAAAGCAUGGGUAGCGAACAGGAUUAGAUACCCUGGUAGUCCAUGCCGUAAACGAUGAGUGCUAGUGUUGGAGGGUUUCCGCCCUUCAGUGCGCAGCUAACGCAUUAAGCACUCGCUGGGAGUACGACGCAAGUUGAAACUCAA
rnacentral:rRNA from 2 species